GAAAUGCGAUAACUAGUGUGAAUUGCAGAAUUCCGUGAAUCAUCGAGUCUUUGAACGCACAUUGCGCCCCCUGGUAUUCCGGGGGGCAUGCCUGUCCGAGCGUCAUUGCUGCCCAUCAAGCACGGCUUGUGUGUUGGGUCGUCGUCCCCUCUCCGGGGGGGGGACGGGCCCCAAAGGCAGCGGCGGCACCGCGUCCGAUCCUCGAGCGUAUGGGGCUUUGUCACCCGCUCUGUAGGCCCGGCCGGCGCUUGCCGAACGCAAAUCAAUCUUUUUCCAGGUUGACCUCGGAUCAGGUAGGGAUACCCGCUGAACUUAAGC
rnacentral:misc_RNA from 1 species